rnacentral:rRNA from 1 species
CCUACGGGGGGCAGCAGUGAGGAAUAUUGGUCAAUGGACGAGAGUCUGAACCAGCCAAGUAGCGUGAAGGAUGACUGCCCUAUGGGUUGUAAACUUCUUUUAUAUGGGAAUAAAAUGUUCCACGUGUGGGAUUUUGUAUGUACCAUAUGAAUAAGGAUCGGCUAACUCCGUGCCAGCAGCCGCGGUAAUCCGGAGGAUCCGAGCGUUAUCCGGAUUUAUUGGGUUUAAAGGGAGCGUAGGUGGAUUGUUAAGUCAGUUGUGAAAGUUUGCGGCUCAACCGUAAAAUUGCAGUUGAAACUGGCAGUCUUGAGUACAGUAGAGGUGGGCGGAAUUCGUGGUGUAGCGGUGAAAUGCUUAGAUAUCACGAAGAACUCCGAUUGCGAAGGCAGUUCACUGGACUGCAACUGACACUGAGGCUCGAAAGUGUGGGUAUCAAACAGGAUUAGAUACCCUUGUAGUC